AUGCCGUACAUACCAGCUGACGUUACAAACCUACGGGCAAGGUACCGUAGAGAGAGCAAGUUGGCAGACAUAGAGGCCACAAUUGCCUACUUCGAUGAGAAAGCCAAAGAAGAUGCAGAUUUCUUCUACAGGAUAAGGUUGGACGAUGAGGACCGUGUCAGGAACAUGUAUUGGGUGGAUGGUGCUGCAAGGAGAGCCUACAAACAUUUCCGAGAUUGCAUUUCAUUCAACGCGACGUACCUCACCAACAUGUACAAGAUGCCGUGCGCUCCGUUCAUAGGGAUAAAUAACCACAAUCAAUAGUUGCAGUUCGGCUGCGGGCUCGUCCGGAACGAAGACACGGAUGGAUACGUUUGGAUGUUCAAGACCUUCUUGGAGUGCAUGGAUGGACUUGCUCCGAUGAACAUAAUAACGGACCAGAAUUUCAGCAUGCGUGCAGGCAUAGAGGAGGUCUUUCCGUUGGCAGUGCACAGGCACUGUAGGUGGCACAUUAUAAAGAAGGAUGAGGAGACGCUAGGACCGUUCUUUGCUGACCGUCCAGAGCUGCACAAGGCAUUCGAACUGUGCGUGGACCACAGCUUGACGGUGGAGGAGUUUGAAAGGAGCUGGAUGGCCAUGACUGAAACACAUCAAGUCCAAGACAACGAGACUCUUGUAAGCCUGUGGGAGAAGCGAAUGUACUGGGUGCCGGCCUACUUCAUGUAGUGCUUCUUCCCCUUUCUGCAGACUACGCAGCGCAGCGAGGGAUUCAAUGCUAUUUUGUAG
rnacentral:rRNA from 1 species